rnacentral:rRNA from 1 species
UACGUAGGGUGCAAGCGUUGUCCGGAAUUAUUGGGCGUAAAGAGCUCGUAGGCGGUCUGUCGCGUCUGCUGUGAAAACUCGGGGCUUAACCCCGGGCCUGCAGUGGGUACGGGCAGACUAGAGUGCGGUAGGGGAGACUGGAAUUCCUGGUGUAGCGGUGAAAUGCGCAGAUAUCAGGAGGAACACCGGUGGCGAAAGCGGCGCACUGGACCACAACUGACGCUGAGGAACGAAAGCUAGGGGAGCAAACAGG